GGUCAAAAGAAUAAGUGCAUACGAAGGAUGCCUUGGCAGUUAGAGGCGAUGAAGGACGUGGCAGUCUGCGAAAAGCUUCGGGGAGUCGACAACAGGCUUUGAUCCGGAGAUGUCCGAAUGGGGAAACCCACCUCAUUGGAGGUAUUUACAUCUGAAUACAUAGGGUGUAAAAGCGAACCUGGAGAACUGAAACAUCUAAGUAACCAGAGGAAAAUAAAUCAACCGAUAUUCCCUAAGUAGUGGCGAGCGAACGGGGAACAGCCCAAAAGUUAUCAUUUAGUCAGCAGAAUCAUCUGGAAAGAUGAGCCAUAGUAGGUGAUAGCCCUGUAGGCGUCAGCUGAGUGAUAAUGAAAGUGAGUAGAACGGGACACGUGAAAUCCUGUUUGAACAUGGGGGGACCAUCCUCCAAGGCUAAAUACUACUAACUGACCGAUAGUGAACGAGUACCGUGAGGGAAAGGUGAAAAGAACCCUUGUUAAGGGAGUGAAAUAGAACCUGAAUUCGUAUGUAUACAAGCAGUGGAAGCUUUCUAAGGAGAGCGACUGCGUACCUUUUGUAUAAUGGGUCAGCGAGUUACUCUUACUGGCAAGCUUAACCGUACAAGGGGAGGCGAAGGGAAACCGAGUCUUAAAAGGCGUUAAGUCGGUGGGAGUAGACCCGAAACCAGACGAGCUAACCAUGGCCAGGAUGAAGGCAGGGUAACACCUGUUGGAGGUCCGAACUCACUACUGUUGAAAAAGUAGGAGAUGAGCUGUGGUUAGGAGUGAAAAGCUAAUCGAGUCUGGAGAUAGCUGGUUCUCCCCGAAAUCUAUUUAGGUAGAGCCUCAUGUAUUUCUUACGGGGGUAAAGCACUGUUAUGGCUAGGGGGACGUAAGGUCUUACCAAACCAUUGCAAACUCUGAAUACCGUAAAGAACAGCAUGGGAGACACACUAUGGGUGCUAAGAUCAAUAGUGGAGAGGGAUACAGCCCUGACCGUCAGCUAAGGUCCCAAAAUUAUAGUUAAGUGGGAAACGAUGUGGGAAAAUUUAGACAUCCAGGAUGUUGGCUUAGAAGCAGCCAUCAUUUAAAGAAAGCGUAAUAGCUCACUGGCCGAGUAGUCCUGCGCGGAAGAUUCAACGGGGCUCAAACUAUAUACCGAAGCUGCGGGUUUAAUCGCAAGAUUGAGCUGUAGGGGAGCGUUCUGUAAGCCUGCGAAGGUGGAUCGUGAGGUCUGCUGGAGGUAUCAGAAGUGCGAAUGCUGACAUAAGUAACGAUAAAUGGGGUGAAAAACCCCAUCGCCGAAAACCCAAGGUUUCCUGCUCAACGUUAAUCGGAGCAGGGUUAGUCGGGACCUAAGAAGAGGCCGAGAGGCGUAUUCGAUGGAAAGCAGGUUAAUAUUCCUGCACCUUAUGUAACUGCGAUGGAGUGACGGAGAAGGUUAGGUUAGCCAGAGAUUGGUAGUUCUGGUUUAAGCUGUUAGUCAGGUUUCCAUGGAAAAUCCGGGAAACUAUUGAUGAGAAGUGAUGACGGGUCUCCGCGAGGAGAUGAAGUAACUGAUACCACGCUUCCGAGAAAAGCUUCUAAGCUUCAGGUUACAUAAGCUCGUACCGCAAACCGACACAGGUGGGUAGGUAGAAUAUACUAAGGCGCUUGAGAGAACUCAGUUGAAGGAACUAGGCAAAUUGACACCGUAACUUCGGAAGAAGGUGUGCCAUCACUAUGUUGCUCGGAGAAACACCGGGUUGCAGAAGAUGGUCUCAGAAAAUCGGUGGCUGCGACUGUUUAUUAAAAACACAGCACUCUGCAAACUCCUAAGAGGAAGUAUAGGGUGUGACGCCUGCCCGGUGCCGGAAGGUUAAAUGAUGAGGUUAGCCGCAAGGCGAAGCUUUUGAUUGAAGCCCCGGUGAACGGCGGCCGUAACUAUAACGGUCCUAAGGUAGCGAAAUUCCUUGUCGGGUAAGUUCCGACCUGCACGAAUGGCGUAACGAUAGCCACGCUGUCUCCAACUGAGACUCAGUGAAAUUGAAUUUGCUGUGAAGAUGCAGUAUACCCGCGGCUAGACGGAAAGACCCCGUGAACCUUUACUAUAACUUUACACUGAACUUUGAAUUCAUCUGUGUAGCAUAGGUGGGAGGCGUUGAAGCAUUGGCGUUAGCCAGUGUGGAGCCGACAGUGAAAUACCACCCUGAUGCGCUCGGAGUUCUAACCAUGACCCGUUAACCGGGUUUGGGACACUGUAUGGUGGGUAGUUUGACUGGGGCGGUCUCCUCCAAAAGAGUAACGGAGGAGUACAAAGGUACUCUCAGCACGGUCGGAAAUCGUGUGUAGUGUGCAAAGGCAUAAGAGUGCUUAACUGUAAGACAAACAAGUCGAGCAGGUACGAAAGUAGGUCUUAGUGAUCCGGUGGUUCUGUAUGGAAGGGCCAUCGCUCAACGGAUAAAAGGUACUCCGGGGAUAACAGGCUGAUACCGCCCAAGAGUUCAUAUCGACGGCGGUGUUUGGCACCUCGAUGUCGACUCAUCACAUCCUGGGGCUGAAGCAGGUCCCAAGGGUUUGGCUGUUCGCCAAUUAAAGUGGUACGUGAGUUGGGUUUAGAACGUCGUGAGACAGUUCGGUCCCUAUCUACCGUGGGCGCUGGAGACUUGAGGGGAGCUGUUCUUAGUACGAGAGGACCGGAAUGGACGCGCCUCUGGUGUACCGGUUGUCACGCCAGUGGCAUCGCCGGGUAGCUAUGCGCGGAUGGGAUAACCGCUGAAAGCAUAUAAGCGGGAAGCCCACCCCAAGAUGAGGUCUCCCGAGAAUUUAAUUCUCCUAAAGAGCCGUUCAAGACCAGGACGUUGAUAGGCUGGGUGUGGAAGUACAGCAAUGUAUGGAGCUUACCAGUACUAAUGGCUCGUGCGUUUUGACCAU
rnacentral:rRNA from 1 species